GAUCGUAUAGGUACUAUUAUGUUAUUACAUAAUAAUUAACAAAAAUUGUAAUUUGUUGUUGUACUUAAUAAUCUCGAAUAACAAUACUUACUUAGGUACAUUUUGCUACGCCGAGUCGCUGUUUCGUCUCUGAGCUGACCGCAUCAGCUCGCUUGGACGAGAAUUCACUCAGUAUUACGCUUCGGCGUGUGCAGCCGGGCUCGUAAUGCACGAUCGAGGAACGAUCGGUCCAUUUCGGUCGGUCGUAGAACUUCAGAACGUUUUCCGACGGACGUUUCUUAGAUGCGUCGUAGACGAUCACACCGAAACGGCACACUAUUUGGCACACGAUACACAUAAUAAGACUGCACUACCAAGACUGAACAUUGUCGAUUAUUAGGCUGACGGAAAAGCAACUUGUACAAAUCAAAAAAUAUAUUAUUGUAAAAUUAUGCAAUUAAGUGGAAUAAUAAAUUUUAAUCAACAAACAUAGGGUCCUGUAUUUAUAAUGAUAAAUUGUAGCAAUAUUUGUUGUGAAGUUUACAAUAAACCGUCUAAAAGCUGAAUGGAUAUCAAGUUACUGGAUAUCAAUAAUGUUCCUAUUACAGGCAUUGGAAUACACACUUUGAGAAUACAAAUGGGAAAAUUUGAAUACAGCAAAUUAAUUCAAUAUGUAACUAAAUAUUAUGAAAAUUAUUAUUAGUUAAUCAAGAAGGGUUAAACUAUUAUAAUUCACUUCCCUUACAUCCAUCAAUCAAUUAGCAUAUGAUAAUCAAAAAAUACUCUAAACAAAUGUUUGUUCGAGUAACAAUAACAAAAAUUCAAGAUUAUAGUCAACACCAAAUCAUUUUGCUGAUGGAGAUGUAACAUGUUUCAAGAGAACUACAUAAUGUUUGAAAAUUGGAAGAUACAUUGCUGUUAGUUCUACUUUAGAUCCUCUUAACCAUACUGUAUACAUUGCAGUAGUGAAGCGUGAGGUUUUUAGUUGGGGAGACACUAAAAAAAGAAAAUGCCACUAAUACGCCUAGACUCCCCUUUUAUAUUUUAUCUAUAGGAUUAAGUCAAAGCUCAUGGUCAAUAAAAAUAAACCACGAACCAUUCAAGAAAUUUGUCACAUUGGUGAACUAGACCCAGGCAUAUGUCAGCAAAUUAAUCACUGUAUUUAUAGUAAGGGUAACCAUGAAAAAAUGAUAAGUUGUUUAAGAGAAAUGCUAUUACUUCCAGUAGGAAGAGAAUUGGAUUUAUUUUCAUGCAUGGAAUCUAAUAAUUGUAGCUUUGUAUUAAGGUGCAUAGGUAUUUUUCAUUGAAAAUAAGAUAUUUGUUUAAUCUAAGCCCAUAGAUAAUUUUUAAAGGCAUAAAAGUUAUAUAUUUUUAUUUUAUAGAUCUAUUAAAGUACGAAUAACUAGAAAGAAGAACUAGAAAAACUUUAUAGGUUAAAAAUAUGUUUUGCAGAAGGAUAUCUAGUAGCAAAAGAUCAAAAUGAAAAUACUACCAAAUCUCAAAAAUGCUAGAAAAUUGUUCAGUCUUCACUAAUAUUUGGAUUGUCACUAGGUUCAUUGAUUUCUUUACUUGGUAUUAUAUAUUGAUGUGAAUAUACUAAAUUAUAAUUGUAUUUGUGA